UUUUUAACAUAUUUGAGCCAGCUGCUCUUUAGUGCUUGUUAUGCAUAAUCAUUAUUUUAAUUGUAGCAACCCAGACGAAUUAAACUUGGACACAGAGUUGUGAAAAGACGUUCAAGGACUGUGUACAAAGAGCUAAACCAUGGUCAUCUUCGGCAACAUAAACAUGAUGAUGUGAUUGAGGAUGUUUGCGAUGGCCAGUAUUUCAAAACCCAUCCUCUGUUUUCCAAGGACUCAACUGCUUUACAAAUCAUGCUUUACUAUGAUGAGUUGGAAAUUGCAAAUGCCCUUGGUAGUAAAACUGGAAAGCAUAAGUUAGGAGUUGUUUACUACACAACUGGAAAUAUGGAUCCUCGAUAUCGAUCCCAGUGUGAUAACAUUCA